rnacentral:rRNA from 1 species
GUACCUCCCUUACAACGAGAAGCUGUCCGUGCAAAUCGGACCACCCUGAAGCCCAACUGCUAGCCCAACAAUGAUUUUUAAGAACUAAAUAUUAAUAUUAAUUAAUAACCUAAAAACACUAAACAAAACAUUUUUUAUCUUAAGUAAAGGCGAUAGAAAAAGAACCAUGGAGCAAUAGAAAAAGUACCGCAAGGGAACGCUGAAAAAGAAAUGAAACAAUAAAUAAGCCUAAUAUAGCAGAGACCCACCCUCGUACCUUUUGCAUCAUGAUUUAGCAAGUAAAGCCCAAGCAAAGAGAUCUAUAGUUUGAGACCCCGAAACUAAGCGAGCUACUCCAAGGCAGCCCAACUGGGGCAAACCCGUCCCUGUGGCAAAAGGGUGGGAAGAACUUUGAGUAGAGGUGACAGACCUACCGAGCAUAGUUAUAGCUGGUUUCCUAAGAAAUGAAUAGAAGUUCAGCCUCCCGUCUUCCUCCCCCCAGCACUAGUACAACUAAUCUACGGGCAAAGGAACAUCAGGAGAGUUAAUUAAAGGAGGUACAGCUCCUUUUUAAUAGAAACACCUU